UAGGGAAUCUUCCGCAAUGGACGCAAGUCUGACGGAGCAACGCCGCGUGAGUGAAGAAGGAUUUCGGUUCGUAAAACUCUGUUGUUAGAGAAGAACAGCGCAUAGAGUAACUGUUAUGCGUGUGACGGUAUCUAACCAGAGAGCCACGGCUAACUACGUGCCAGCAGCCGCGGUAAUACGUAGGUGGCAAGCGUUGUCCGGAUUUAUUGGGCGUAAAGCGAGCGCAGGCGGUCAAUUAAGUCUGAUGUGAAAGCCCCCGGCUCAACCGGGGAGGGUCAUUGGAAACUGGUUGACUUGAGUGCAGAAGAGGAGAGUGGAAUUCCAUGUGUAGCGGUGAAAUGCGUAGAUAUAUGGAGGAACACCAGUGGCGAAGGCGACUCUCUGGUCUGUAACUGACGCUGAGGCUCGAAAGCGUGGGGAGCGAACAGG
rnacentral:rRNA from 1 species